CAUCAUGUCCUAUUAAAGGAGAUUUCAUAUACUUGCUGUGAUAUUCUAGCUCGAAUUUGGUGCUGCUGUGUUGGAAUUAAAGGAGGUGCAAAGAAGGUCAUCAUCUCAGCCCCUAGCAAGGAUGCUACUGAAAUUCUACUUUAUUACAAAUGAUUGUCCUAGGAUGGAAAAACUAGAGUGGAGUAGUUCAAGCAAAGCAAUUACAUUGCUCAUAAAUAC